rnacentral:rRNA from 1 species
AAGCACUCUAUUUGAUUUUCUUCGGAAAUGAAGAUUUUGUGACUGAGUGGCGGACGGGUGAGUAACGCGUGGGCAACCUGCCUCAUACAGGGGGAUAACAGUUGGAAACGACUGCUAAUACCGCAUAAGCGCACAGGAUCGCAUGAUCCGGUGUGAAAAACUCCGGUGGUAUGAGAUGGACCCGCGUCUGAUUAGCCAGUUGGCAGGGUAACGGCCUACCAAAGCGACGAUCAGUAGCCGACCUGAGAGGGUGACCGGCCACAUUGGGACUGAGACACGGCCCAAACUCCUACGGGAGGCAGCAGUGGGGAAUAUUGCACAAUGGGGGAAACCCUGAUGCAGCGACGCCGCGUGAGCGAAGAAGUAUUUCGGUAUGUAAAGCUCUAUCAGCAGGGAAGAAGAAUGACGGUACCUGACUAAGAAGCACCGGCUAAAUACGUGCCAGCAGCCGCGGUAAUACGUAUGGUGCAAGCGUUAUCCGGAUUUACUGGGUGUAAAGGGAGCGCAGGCGGUGCGGCAAGUCUGAUGUGAAAGCCCGGGGCUCAACCCCGGUACUGCAUUGGAAACUGUCGUACUAGAGUGUCGGAGGGGUAAGUGGAAUUCCUAGUGUAGCGGUGAAAUGCGUAGAUAUUAGGAGGAACACCAGUGGCGAAGGCGGCUUACUGGACGAUAACUGACGCUGAGGC